UACGUAGGGUGCAAGCGUUAAUCGGAAUUACUGGGCGUAAAGCGUGCGCAGGCGGUUGUGUAAGACAGAUGUGAAAUCCCCGGGCUCAACCUGGGAACUGCAUUUGUGACUGCACAGCUGGAGUGCGGCAGAGGGGGAUGGAAUUCCGCGUGUAGCAGUGAAAUGCGUAGAUAUGCGGAGGAGCACCGAUGGCGAAGGCAAUCCCCUGGGCCUGCACUGACGCUCAUGCACGAAAGCGUGGGGAGCAAACAGG
rnacentral:rRNA from 1 species